AUAUUACAUUUUUUUUAUAACUUCUAAAAUUUGUAUCUAACUAACCAAAUUUUCAGGAAUCAUAAAGACUAAGAGAACUUAAAGUGUCGUCACAAGCUAAAUGAAUAUUUGUUGACAAAAUGUUCCCUACAUUAUUGAUUUUUUUCACUUACCGUUGCGUAGAUGGACGUCCGGCUAUCCAGAUGGCAAACAGUGAGAUCAUAAAACUAGCAAAAUCGAUCCAAAAACGAGAUUCACCAACAGCAGUCGCCUGGCUACCAAAACACCAAAGAGGAGGAGCUUUUCAUUUUAGCAAGCGUAUCGACAAUUCCUUCAAUUUCAAUUUGAACAAAUCGUAAAAUGCAGAAUGUAAACCGAAUGAGUAUGGCAUGGAAUGUGCUUUAGAUGGCACAUUGUAGCCCUUAGGUGAAUCAAAUCAGUUUGGAAAUUUAAAAUCAUUUAAAAAUGGGAAAUAUAAUAUAAACAAACAUGAGUAUAAGAGUCAGAGAUGCUUGACUUCAAUAUACCUGGCACCCAUUGCAACUAUGUAUUCUUUUGUUUUUUUAAAUUGUUCAUCCAAUGUUCAUUCAUUAUUAAAUACUUAAAACUUCC